CUUUCAUUGUUGGAUGAUCACAUGUGCUAUGAGCUAUCAUAGUCCAUUUGGGUUGCUUGACAGAAUCCCAUAGGCUUGGGUGACUUACAAAAAACAGGUUGUCGGCCCCUCCUGUAAGAUCUCACAUGUUCUGAGCCCUCAGGAAGGUGGAGUCCUCAUGGGUCCUGGGGAGUUGAUUGGAUGCUUGUCUCUGUCACAGAUGAAUAACAGUCCAUUGGCUGGCUGUACCACAUCCCUCCACAGAUGGGCCUUCGUGUUGCUUCCACUUUGGGGUCAUGGUACACAGCACUGCUGUGGUCAUUGGAAGGCUGUGAAUUUGAAUCUGACCUGGCCACUUGGUCACUUGCUCCACACUUUACCUUCUUUCAGAGAUGUUUUUGCAGAGAAUGUCAGCGUCUGGUUAAGUCUCUUUUAGAAUAAUGUCUGGCAUUCUGGACCCUAGUUUUUAACAGAUAGCCUGCACUGUACCUGGAAUACAGGAGGCAUCAUAGAAUAUGUGCUAAGAGUUGCAUCGUGAUGCGGUAAAUACAUUAGUUAUCAUCCCAACCAGACUUGCUGAGAGCACAGAGGGGGCUAUCAAUAGUUCCGCUGGGAGCAUGGGCCUGCCUGGAGGCUGUCCCAGGCAAGCUGAGACCUACAGUCACCCUGUGUAAUGACGAGAAGCCCAGAGAGGGGGAACGUGAAAUGCUGGUGUGGGGCCACCUGUGGUGGUGCUGGCUGGCAGGACUCAGAUAGGGAUGGCGGUCAACUGGCUACUGUGCAGCCAUUCAAAUAGAAGAUGACCAUGACUCUGUGUAAAAUUAAAGUGAUAGCAUCUUGAGGAAAGCAAACCUUGAGGAAACCUUUUAAUGAUCUUUUCGUACUCAUGGGAAUGGAAAUGCAGUUUUACCAUAUUGUUUACUCACAGUCUGCUGUCACCCAAUGGAUGCUUACUUCACCCUGUAGACCUACCACCUCUUGGCCAAAUCCAUCAUCUCCAGCUUCACUGUCCACGUUGAAGACAGUCGUCCUUGAUCAUUUACAUACUGUCUACGGCUGUGUCAGGGUACAGCAACAGAGCUGAGCUGUGGCGACAGGGACCUGUAUGCUCCACAAACGAAAAGUAGUGUCUGACCCUUUGCAGGUGAAGGUUACUGAUGGUGCAAACCUAUAAAUGCAAGAAGCACUCUCUUCAUAUAAUACCAGGUAUAGCUGUUAGGGAACUGUUGAUCGAAGCCACCACAUUGGCCAGGCCUGCUUACCUGAAUUGUCUCACAACAAGAGGUCCCAAUAAGGAACACGAUGCUGCCACUGAAGACUAACUGGGAGAAUUUGGGAGAGGACAAGAGACGGAGGAGAUGAACAUCCUCCCAGAUUUCAGCCCUCACACUGAAAUCCACCUUGGCUGAAAGAUGCACCUGCCGUCAGGAAGGACCUUGAGUCAGACUGUGGGUAACCCCGUCACCAUAAAACCAGAGGCUGUGAGCUACACAGAAGAGCACUUCUCCUGGGUCCCUUUACCCUGCUGCUCUCUGCGUGGGUGCUCCUUCCCAGUAAAAUCUCUUGCUUUGUCAGCGCAUGUGUCUCAUUGAACAAUUUGGUUUCGAGUGUUAGGCAAGACACCACUCUCAGGCCCUGCAAGGGAUCCCCUUUCCUGACAUAGUGGCAGAUGCAAGGCAACAGCGCACUG